rnacentral:rRNA from 1 species
GACGAACGCUGGCGGCGUGCUUAACACAUGCAAGUCGAACGAGAAUCUGUGGAUCGAGGAUUCGUCCAAGUGAAGCAGAGGACAGUGGCGGACGGGUGAGUAACGCGUGAGGAACCUGCCUUUCAGAGGGGGACGACAGUUGGAAACGACUGCUAAUACCGCAUGAUACGUUUUAGGGGCAUCCCUGAGACGUCAAAGAUUUAUCGCUGAAAGAUGGCCUCGCGUCUGAUUAGCUGGUUGGUGAGGUAACGGCCCACCAAGGCGACGAUCAGUAGCCGGACUGAGAGGUUGAACGGCCACAUUGGGACUGAGAUACGGCCCAGACUCCUACGGGAGGCAGCAGUGGGGAAUAUUGCACAAUGGGGGAAACCCUGAUGCAGCGACGCCGCGUGGAGGAAGAAGGUUUCGGAUUGUAAACUCCUGUCGUUAGGGACGAUAAUGACGGUACCUAACAAGAAAGCACCGGCUAACUACGUG